AAAAAAUUUUACAGAGUGAGUGUUACCUUUGGAAGACUCCAUGUUGGUGCUGGUGAGAGCGCCCGGAAGCGAUAUGUCUGUUUCCUGACAUGAACAAGAGCCAGAGCCUGAGGAGGAUGCCGACUGACCGGCCAUGGGCGGGAUGUGUCCGUCAGCUUCGUCAGAAUUUCGUCCUCAGCCAUUUUUUCACCCUCGGGCUGUGGCGAGCAGCAGCUGGAUUGCUGGAUCAUCAGUGGAUGGAGAAGAUGGGAAACAUUUAAGUCAUACUGACUCAAAACAAAAUGUUGCCCAACCUUUAUCGAGCCAAGCACAGCCAUAAGGAAGUCGAUUUGAGUGAACUUCCUCAUCAUGGGCUCCAGUUCAAUGAGACACUCUGAAAUGACAGUGAGGAUGUCACACUACGACCUGACGUCACAUCAGUGUUGCAACUUUAAAC